rnacentral:rRNA from 1 species
GCAAGUCGAGCGGUAGAGAGGUGCUUGCACCUCUUGAGAGCGGCGGACGGGUGAGUAAAGCCUAGGAAUCUGCCUGGUAGUGGGGGAUAACGCUCGGAAACGGACGCUAAUACCGCAUACGUCCUACGGGAGAAAGCAGGGGACCUUCGGGCCUUGCGCUAUCAGAUGAGCCUAGGUCGGAUUAGCUAGUUGGUGAGGUAAUGGCUCACCAAGGCGACGAUCCGUAACUGGUCUGAGAGGAUGAUCAGUCACACUGGAACUGAGACACGGUCCAGACUCCUACGGGAGGCAGCAGUGGGGAAUAUUGGACAAUGGGCGAAAGCCUGAUCCAGCCAUGCCGCGUGUGUGAAGAAGGUCUUCGGAUUGUAAAGCACUUUAAGUUGGGAGGAAGGGCAUUAACCUAAUACGUUAGUGUUUUGACGUUACCGACAGAAUAAGCACCGGCUAACUCUGUGCCAGCAGCCGCGGUAAUACAGAGGGUGCAAGCGUUAAUCGGAAUUACUGGGCGUAAAGCGCGCGUAGGUGGUUCGUUAAGUUGGAUGUGAAAUCCC